rnacentral:rRNA from 1 species
UACGUAGGGGGCUAGCGUUGUCCGGAAUCAUUGGGCGUAAAGAGCGUGUAGGCGGCCCGGUAAGUCCGCUGUGAAAGUCGGGGGCUCAACCCUCGGAUGCCGGUGGAUACUGUCGGGCUCGAGUACGGAAGAGGCGAGUGGAAUUCCUGGUGUAGCGGUGGAAUGCGCAGAUAUCAGGAAGAACACCAAUAGCGAAGGCAGCUCGCUGGGACGUUACUGACACUGAGGCGCGAAAGCGUGGGGAGCGAACAGG